rnacentral:rRNA from 1 species
GAUGAACGCUGGCGGCGUGCCUAACACAUGCAAGUCGAGCGAUCUUCUUCGGAAGAGAGCGGCGGACGGGUGAGUAACGCGUGGGUAACCUGCCCUGUACACACGGAUAACAUACCGAAAGGUAUGCUAAUACGAGAUAAUAUGCUUUUAUCGCAUGGUAGAAGUAUCAAAGCUCCGGCGGUACAGGAUGGACCCGCGUCUGAUUAGCUAGUUGGUAAGGUAACGGCUUACCAAGGCGACGAUCAGUAGCCGACCUGAGAGGGUGAUCGGCCACAUUGGAACUGAGACACGGUCCAAACUCCUACGGGAGGCAGCAGUGGGGAAUAUUGCACAAUGGGCGAAAGCCUGAUGCAGCAACGCCGCGUGAGCGAUGAAGGCCU